rnacentral:rRNA from 1 species
CCAAUAGCGUAUAUUAAAGUUGUUGCAGUUAAAAAGCUCGUAGUUGAAUUUCGGGAUCAAUAUUUCGGUCAUGUCGUUGGUAUGCACUGUUAUCAUUGAUUUCUCACCUUCUAAAGAACCGUAAUGCCAUUAAUUUGGUGUUACGGGGAAUUAGGACUGUUACCUUGAAAAAAUUAGAGUGUUUAAAGCAGGCUCACGCUUGAAUACAUUAGCAUGGAAUAAUGAAAUAGGACAUCCGAUUCUAUUUUGUUGGUUUCUAGGAUCGAUGUAAUGAUUAAUAGGGAUAGUUGGGGGCAUUAGUAUUCAAUUGUCAGAGGUGAAAUUCUUGGAUUUAUUGAAGACUAACUACUGCGAAAGCAUUUGCCAAGGAUGUUUUCAUUAAUCAAGAACGAAAGUUAGGGGAUCGAAGACGAUCAGAUACCGUCGUAGUCUUAACCAUAAACUAUGCCGACUAGGGAUCGGAUGAUGUUAAUUUUUUAAUGACUCAUUCGGCGCCUUACG